AUUCGUUUAAAGUUUGUUCUCUUUCUUUCGACGUGUGUCAAGAAGUAGUAAACGUGUUUUACUGCGGAUUAAAAAAUGAGAGCGAAGUGGCGUAAGAAGCGUAUGCGAAGGCUAAAGCGUAAGCGCAGGAAGAUGCGUGCGAGAUCCAAAUAAGCUACUGUACCAUACAGUAACGGAUCAUUACGUCUAUUAUUAUCUGAGGACUUGCAAACUGGUAAAACGUUAAGAGAUCAAAACCGGCCGUGAAAUUGUCAAAUCUCGGUGCAUUUAUGAAUAAGUAUUAAACGUUUUUGCCAUUUCGCACUUGAUUCAGUGAAAAUGGAGCGAAUCAA